AGUUUAAUUGGCAAUAUCGUAACCAAUGAGUUUUAUCCGAAGUAGGAUUAAUGCUAGUUGAAAACUUGUACUAAUACCCCGCCAAAUUAGCGUUAAAUAUCGUCGCUUCUGGCAAUUUUUAAGAGCUCAUACGGAAUGAC